UACGUAGGGGGCUCGCGUUGUCCGGAUUUAUUGGGCGUAAAGAGCGUGUAGGCGGCCAGGUAGGUCUGGUGUGAAAACUCGAGGCUUAACCUCGAGAUGUCAUCGGAAACCAUCUGGCUAGAGUCCGGAAGAGGAGAGUGGAAUUCCUGGUGUAGCGGUGAAAUGCGCAGAUAUCAGGAAGAACACCAAUGGCGAAAGCAGCUCUCUGGGACGGUACUGACGCUGAGACGCGAAAGCGUGGGGAGCGAACAGG
rnacentral:rRNA from 1 species